CUACUUGUGUGCUUUCGCUCUAACAAACAAAUAAAUAAAUAAAUAAAAUCUUAAAAAAAAACAAACAAACAUGAAUUUGGACCAGGCAAAUUAAAAAAAAUUUUUUUUAAAGCAUGAAUUUCAUUCCUUUAGAGAACUUUGUUAAGUGCUUAUGACAUAGAGUGGUGAUUUCACGUGCUUUGUUUCAUGAAGGUAUGAUGUUUAAUCUCCUACUUGGUAAUGGGGGCCAAGCUGACCUCCGCCCCUAGCAUCAGCUGGGUCAUUGAGGAAGCAGUUAAAGCCCACAUGUAGUGAAACAGAGACACUAAAAAUGAGAAAAGUUUUGCUCUGAUGAAUUUAUCUCAAAUUUUGCCAUUUCUAAAAUCCAGACAUCAGCAACUUUAAUUUUGGCAUCUGUAAAAAUCUUAUUUUUAGGUACAAAUUAGGGAUUUUUAUCUCUUUUUCUUUCUUUGGGUCUCCAGAGGUCUUAAUCCAGCCAGAAGUCCUUUCAUAAAGUCAAAGCAUAGUAGGAAGUUCCUUUAUAGUCCUAGAGAUUGCAGAUGAAGAUUUGGACAUGAAUUUUUGCUAUAGCACAAAUGUGGGUCAUACAUGGUAUUCGCUAACGCAUUGCUGUUGUUUUCCAGUAGCCCAUGAUUGCCAGUUGUAUCUGUCUUUUUAUUUAUUUAUUUUUAAAAAAAGAUUUUAUUUAUUUAUUUGACAGAGAUCACAAGUAGGCAGAGAGGCAGAGGGAGAGGAAGGGAAGCUGGCUCCCCGCUGAGCAGACAGCCUGACUAGGGACUUGAUCCCAGAACCCCGGGAUCAUGACUGAGCCGAAGGCAGAGGCUUUAACCCACUGAGGCACCCGGGCACCCUGUAUCGGUCUUUUUAAACUAAGUGAUAAAAUGUCUUUCUGGGGCUGGAAGAGUUACUUCAAAUAGAAUUUGUAUAUCUUUUUAAAGGAAAAAAACAA